rnacentral:rRNA from 1 species
UUGCCUUAGUAACGGCGAGUGAAGCGGCAACAGCUCAAAUUUGAAAUCUGGCCCUUGGGUCCGAAUUGUAAUUUGUAGAGGAUGAUUUUGGUGCGGUAUCUUCCGAGUUCCUUGGAACAGGACGCCUUAGAGGGUGAGAGCCCCGUACGGUUGAAUGCCUAGCCUCUGUAAAUCUCCUUCGACGAGUCGAGUAGUUUGGGAAUGCUGCUCUAAAUGGGAGGUAAAUUUCUUCUAAAGCUAAAUAUUGGCCAGAGACCGAUAGCGCACAAGUAGAGUGAUCGAAAGAUGAAAAGCACUUUGAAAAGAGGGUUAAAUAGCACGUGAAAUUGUUGAAAGGGAAGGAUUUGUGACCAGACUUUUUCUGGGCGGAUCAUCCGGGGUUCUCUCCGGUGCACUUCGCCCAGUAAAGGCCAGCAUCGGUUUUCGGCGUGGGAUAAAAGCAGUAGGAAUGUGGCUCUCUACGGGGAGUGUUAUAGCCUAUUGUAUAAUACCGCGCUGGGGACCGAGGUUCGCGCUUCUGCAAGGAUGCUGGCGUAAUGGUUAUCAAUCACCCGUCUUGAAACACGGACCAAGGAGUCGAACAUUUGUGCGAGUGUUUGGGUGUUAAACCCUCACGCGUAAUGAAAGUGAACGGAGGUGAGAGCCCUUACGGGUGCAUCAUCGACCGAUCCUGAAGUUUUCGGAUGGAUUUGAGUAAGAGCAUAACUGUUCGGACCCGAAAGAUGGUGAACUAUGCGUGGAUAGGGUGAAGCCAGAGGAAACUCUGGUGGAGGCUCGCAGCGGUUCUGACGUGCAAAUCGAUCGUC